rnacentral:rRNA from 1 species
GGGUCAGCGACUUAUAUUCUGUAGCAAGGUUAACCGUAUAGGGGAGCCGAAGGGAAACCGAGUCUUAACUGGGCGUUAAGUUGCAGGGUAUAGACCCGAAACCCGGUGAUCUAGCCAUGGGCAGGUUGAAGGUUGGGUAACACUAACUGGAGGACCGAACCGACUAAUGUUGAAAAAUUAGCGGAUGACUUGUGGCUGGGGGUGAAAGGCCAAUCAAACCGGGAGAUAGCUGGUUCUCCCCGAAAGCUAUUUAGGUAGCGCCUCGUGAAUUCAUCUUCGGGGGUAGAGCACUGUUUCGGCUAGGGGGUCAUCCCGACUUACCAACCCGAUGCAAACUGCGAAUACCGAAGAAUGUUAUCACGGGAGACACACGGCGGGUGCUAACGUCCGUCGUGAAGAGGGAAACAACCCAGACCGCCAGCUAAGGUCCCAAAGUCAUGGUUAAGUGGGAAACGAUGUGGGAAGGCACAGACAGCCAGGAUGUUGGCUUAGAAGCAGCCAUCAUUUAAAGAAAGCGUAAUAGCUCACUGGUCGAGUCGGCCUGCGCGGAAGAUGUAACGGGGCUAAACCAUGCACCGAAGCUGCGGCAGCGACACUAUGUGUUGUUGGGUAGGGGAGCG